AGGGGAGUGGUCAGGAAAACGGCCAGGGAAGUGGUCAGGGAAGCGGUUAUGGUCAGGGGAGAGGUCAGGGAAGCAGUUAUGGUCAGGGGAGCGGUCAAGGAAGCGGAAGUGGUCAGGGAAGCGGUUAUGGUCAGGGGAGAGGUCGGGGAAGCAGUUAUGGUCAGGGGAGCGGUCAGGAAAGCGGCCAGGGGAGCGGUCAGGGAAGCGGUCAUGGUCAGGGGAGCGGUCAGGGGAGCGGAAGUGGUCAGGGGAGAGGGAAGUGGUCAGGGAAGCGGUUAUGGUCAGGGGAGAGGUCAGGGAAGCAGUUAUGGUCAGGGAAGUGGUCAGGGAAGCGGUUAUGGUCAGGGGAGCGGUCAGGGGAGCGGAAGUGGUCAGGGAAGCGGUUAUGGUCAGGGAAGCAGUUAUGGUCAGGGAAGCGGUUAUGGUCAGGGAAGCGGUCAGGGGAUCGGUCAUGGUCAGGGGAGCGGUCAGGGAAGCGGUCAUGGUCAGGGGAGCGGUUAUGGUCAGGGGAGCGGUCAGGGGAACGGUCAUGGGCAGGGGAACGGUUAGGGGAGCGGUCAGGGAAGCGGUCAUGGUCAGGGGAGCGGUUAUGGUCAGGGGAGUGGUCAGGGAAGGGGAAGCGGUCAGGGAAGGGGUCAUGGUCAGGGGAGAGGUCGUGGUCAGG